CCUACGGGAGGCAGCAGUGAGGAAUAUUGGUCAAUGGACGAGAGUCUGAACCAGCCAAGUAGCGUGAAGGAUGACUGCCCUAUGGGUUGUAAACUUCUUUUAUAUGGGAAUAAAAUGUUCCACGUGUGGCUUUUUGUAUGUACUUUAUGAAUAAGGAUCGGCUAACUCCGUGCCAGCAGCCGCGGUAAUACGGAGGAUCCGAGCGUUAUCCGGAUUUAUUGGGUUUAAAGGGAGCGUAGGUGGAUUGUUAAGUCAGUUGUGAAAGUUUGCGGCUCAACCGUAAAAUUGCAGUUGAAACUGGCAGUCUUGAGUACAGUAGAGGUGGGCGGAAUUCGUGGUGUAGCGGUGAAAUGCUUAGAUAUCACGAAGAACUCCGAUUGCGAAGGCAGCUCACUGGACUGCAACUGACACUGAGGCUCGAAAGUGUGGGUAUCAAACAGGAUUAGAUACCCUUGUAGUC
rnacentral:rRNA from 1 species